rnacentral:rRNA from 1 species
GCCCCAGACUCCUACGGGAGGCAGCAGUGAGGAAUAUUGGUCAAUGGGCGAGAGCCUGAACCAGCCAAGUCGCGUGAAGGAUGACGGCCCUACGGGUUGUAAACUUCUUUUGUCAGGGAGCAAUUGAGUCCACGUGUGGGCUUAGCGAGAGUACCUGAAGAAAAAGCAUCGGCUAACUCCGUGCCAGCAGCCGCGGUAAUACGGAGGAUGCGAGCGUUAUCCGGAUUUAUUGGGUUUAAAGGGUGCGUAGGCGGAAUAUCAAGUCAGCGGUAAAAAUUCGGGGCUCAACCCCGUCGUGCCGUUGAAACUGAUGUUCUUGAGUGGGCGAGAAGUAUGCGGAAUGCGCAGUGUAGCGGUGAAAUGCUUAGAUAUUGCGCAGAACUCCGAUUGCGAAGGCAGCAUACCGGCGGCGAUCUGACGCUGAGGCACGAAAGCGUGGGUAUCGAACAGGAUUAGAUCCCCCGGUA